GGAGCCGUAGCGAAAGCGAGUUUUAACUGAGCGUUCAGUUACUUGACGUAGACCCGAAACCGGGCGACCUACCCAUGAGCAGGAUGAAGCGAAAGUAAAAUUUCGUGGAGGUCCGAACCCACGAGCGUUGAAAAGCUCGGGGAUGACUUGUGGGUAGCGGUGAAAUUCCAAUCGAGCCCGGAGAUAGCUGGUUCUCCCCGAAAUAGCUUUAGGGCUAGCCUCAAGGUGAGAGAUACGGAGGUAGAGCACUGAAUGUCCUAGGGGGUAUUGCACCUACCGAAGACUAUCAAACUCCGAAUGCCGUCAUCUUAUACUUGGGAGUCAGACUGUGGGUGAUAAGAUUCAUAGUCGAAAGGGCAACAGCCCAGAUCGUCAGCUAAGGUCCCUAAAUGUAAGUUAAGUGGUAAAGGAUGUGGGAUUGCACAGACAACCAGGAUGUUGGCUUAGAAGCAGCCACUCAUUCAAAGAGUGCGUAAUAGCUCACUGGUCGAGUGAUCCUGCGCCGAAGAUUUCCGGGGCUAAAACUUACUACCGAAGCUACGGCAUCAGUAAUGAUGGGUAGGGGAGCUUCCCAUACGGGUUGAAGCAUGACCGUAAGGACAUGUGGACAGUAUGGGAGUGAGAAUGUUGGCAUGAGUAGCGAGAUGUGGGUGAGAAUCCCACAGGCCGUAAACCCAAGGUUUCCAGGGGAAGGUUCGUCCGCCCUGGGUUAGUCGGGACCUAAGCUGAGGCCGAAAGGCGUAGGUGAUGGACAACAGGUUGAUAUUCCUGUACUACCGAUAACCGUUUGAGAGAAGGGAUGACACAGUAGGAUAAGCUAAGCACACUGUUGGUUAUGUGUGCCCAAGCAUUGAGGCAGUCAAAGUAGGCAAAUCCGCUUUGAUAAUGCUGGGAUGUGAUGGGGAGCGAAAUUUAGUAGCGAAGUAGCUGAUUUCACACUGUCAAGAAAAGUCUCUAUCGAGGUUAAAGGUACCCGUACCGCAAACCGACACAGGUGGGUGAGGAGAGUAUCCUAAGGCCAGCGAGAGAACUGUUGUUAAGGAACUCGGCAAAAUGACCCCGUAACUUAGGGAUAAGGGGUGCCACCAUCAGGUGGCCGCAGAGAAUAGGCCCAAGCGACUGUUUACCAAAAACAUAGGUUUCUGCUAAGUCGCAAGACGAUGUAUAGGAGCUGACGCCUGCCCGGUGCUGGAAGGUUAAGGGGAUCUGUUAGAGCAAUCGAAGCAGUGAACUUAAGCCCCAGUAAACGGCGGCCGUAACUAUAACGGUCCUAAGGUAGCGAAAUUCCUUGUCGGGUAAGUUCCGACCCGCACGAAAGGCGUAACGAUUUGGGCACUGUCUCAACAACAGACUCGGUGAAAUUGUAAUUCCGGUGAAGAUGCCGGAUACCUGCGACAGGACGGAAAGACCCCAUGGAGCUUUACUGUAGCUUGACAUUGGGUCUUGGUACUACAUGUACAGGAUAGGUGGGAGGCUUUGAAACCAGGACGCCAGUUUUGGCGGAGCCAUCCUUGGGAUACCACCCUUGUAGUACUGGGACUCUAACCAUAGGCCAUGAAUCUGGUCUUGGGACACUGUCAGGUGGGCAGUUUGACUGGGGCGGUCGCCUCCCAAAAGGUAACGGAGGCGCUCAAAGGUUCUCUCAGUACGGUCGGAAAUCGUACGUAGAGUGUAAAGGCAAAAGAGAGCUUGAUUGCAAGACAUACAGGUCGAGCAAGGAUGAAAAUCGGACUUAGUGAUCCGGUGGUUCUGCGUGGAAGGGCCAUCGCUCAACGGAUAAAAGCUACCCUGGGGAUAA
rnacentral:rRNA from 1 species